rnacentral:snRNA from 1 species
GUGCUUGCUUUGGCAGCACACAUACUAAAAUUGGAAUGAUUCAGAGAAGAUUAGUGUGGCCCCUGUACAAGGAUGACAUGCAAAUUCGUGAAGCAUUCCACAGUUUU